AGUAAGGGAGGAUCUGUAAAGCUCAGGAGGGAUAGCGCCAGAUGAAUUAACCAAGAUUCUAACAAUUAAGCGUUUAUUUGGUCAUCAUCUGACGCUAUCCAUCCUGAGUUUCAUGGCUUCUUCUUACU